ACUAAGUUUCAACAACGGAUCUCUUGGCUCUCGCAUCGAUGAAGAACGCAGCGAAAUGCGAUAAGUAAUGUGAAUUGCAGAAUUCAGUGAAUCAUCGAAUCUUUGAACGCACCUUGCAUUCCUCGGAGCAUGCCUGUUUGAGUAUCAUGA
rnacentral:rRNA from 1 species